CUAGAAAGACGAGCUUUGAUCUCGUAAAAAUUUAGUUAACAGCUAAAUACUCUAUCCAGUGAGCUUCUUUCUA
rnacentral:tRNA from 1 species